UCUCCCCUCCCCCACCCAUUGGCUUUGUAGGGGGGGCGGGGGCGGGGGUGGAAUGGGAAGAAACUCUCUUCUCUCCCCUGUAUUGGCCCUGUAUUGUGGGGGAGGUGGCAUGAGAAGGACUGCUUUUUCUUCCCCUCCCCUCACCCAGUUGGCCCUUUUUGGGGAGCAGCAUGAGAAGGACUUCUCUUCCCACCUCUUUGCCCUUGCUCUGAUUGCCCUAUCAAGGAGGGGUGGGCAGAGUGAUGAAAUGUGGCUAUCCAUUGACUGCUCCAUCCUUCUGAGAACUGGAUUCUCAAGCGGGAUGGGCUGUCCAAUAGUGCUUAUUCUAUUACCCCCAAAAAACUGAUGUUGGACGUGGACGCUAUGGCCCUGAAGGGCAAGACUGUGGGAUGGGGCACAGGCAGCAUUCUCCACUCAAUGUGCUGCUCAUGGAGCCUUCGGGAAGCUUAGGGAUAAAUUGCAGUCUUCCCACGAAUGAGCACUCUGGGGUAAAGGAUCAAAUGCAGGAUCUGUGGCACAAAUCAUGCACUUCAAAAGAGUGAGUUACCAGGACCAUCAAUAGGUAGAGGAAGUAGUUGGUUCACACGCUCUACCCAACAAGAGGGUUAGACCUGAGGCAAAAUGCCAGAUUGCAUGUGAAAUCACAAACUGUAAGUAUACAGGUGAGCAGAUAUUGUUUAGAGAGGAGGGACAGGUCCUGUAUUUAGGGCACUAGCCUGGGUCUUAGGAGAUUGGGGUUCAACUUCCUGCUCUGCCACAGUGUUCCCAUGUGACCUUGUACAAAUCACACAGUCUCUCUGUGCCUCUUGUUCCCCCUCUAUAUAAAUUAGGGAUAAUGUUUCUAUACGCUGACGGGUGUAUGCAAAUAAAUGUUAAUGAUUGACUUGCUUACCUACUAUGGUAAUGGUAAAUUACUUAUUUAUACUGCAGUCGUGUUGAGUGUUUCCAGUCUUUAUUUGACUCUGCUUCCAGGAAUUCUAUGCUUAGUGAAAAAUUCUCAUGUAGAGAGGAUGAAUUUGAAAAGAGAUAACACUCCAGUUUAGUCCUAAUCUGUUCCAUUGCACUAUUUUCAAGGUGCUAUACUUAAGUAUUUAAGGUACCACAACUUCACAUUGAGAAUAACUUCAGUGUGGGCUUUUUGCUAUAUUUGCAUAGAAUAGGGCUAUAUCUUUUUUUCCCACGAUUAGAGGAGCAGAGUGGACAUAAUUUUUUUUUAAGUGCAUCUAUCUAAACAGCCACAUGUCUGAAAUGAGUGAGAUGUCAACCUUACUGUUAUGGGUGAGAAGUACUCGAUGUACUUGAUAUGCUCAAGAACGCAUCUUUGCAAUCAGUUUGCAACUUACCACAGUACAGUUUUUUGUACUUGCCAGAGCAUUGACUCAAUGCCACCUGAGUCUGCCUGCCAGUACUUUUGCAGGAAAGUAAUAAGGAAGGCUGAUGACAGGAAGUUCCCAGACCUGGUAAUGAAGUGAAAUAUUUCAGCUUCAAGGAAACUUUCACCUCUCGGCUGACUUAUUUAUGUAACGAUGUGAUAGCUUUUUGUUGUUUGUUCAUUUUUUAAAUUAUCAAGCAGCUUAGUCUCCAUAGACACAAACUCAGCAGUUUCCUGGAGUGAAUUUGACUAAGAGUAUUUUUUUUUAAGUUUUACUAUAAUUCUGGUUUUCAGAUUCCAUCUGGCAAGCAGUUUUCCUUCUAUUUUGGCUUUUAUGGAAAGGUGCAAGCAUUGUACAGGGCAAAAAGAGGAUUUAUUGACUAGUAUCUAGGUUUUUCCAGUAAUUUGAACUACAAGUAUCACUUCUAAAGUUUGUAUGUAAUUGGCAUAGUCAGUUUUAAUGUUUAGACGUCCCCUCAGGGAAACUGCUAGGUAUGUGGGGUAAGGGAUGGACAUGUCCAAAAGGGCACAGUGAAAUUACAAAAGAAAGGAGCUGUUUCCCUCUCUUAACAAAACCAGUUUCAUUAAUUUAAUCCUUAAUAUUCAGGAGACCUGAAAAUACAAAGUACCCAGUUUCAUAACUUCCCCAGGCAUCUUUAAUUUGUACAAGCAGCACUUAGUCAGCAGGUCACUCUAGAGUAGGAUCUGACAAGAAACAGUCCAGUGAAAGAGUCUUAUUCAAUUCAUCAUGUAUUGGCAGACAGCUAAAAAGUGACAAUUUUUUAAAGUGCUUAUAUACAAAUGAUAGAAGUCUAAGUAAUAAGAUGGGUGAAUUAAAGUGCCUCAUAUUAAAUGAGGAUAUUGAUAUACUAGGCGUCACAGAAACUUGGUGGAAUGAGGGUAAUCCAAUGGAACACAAUAAAACCAGGAUGCAAAAUAUAUCGAAAGAACAGGUUGUGCUGGUGGUGUGUGGCACGAUAUAUGAGAAAGUAUAGAAUCCAAUGAAGUAAAGAUCUUAAAUGAGCCCAACUGUACCAUAGAAUCUCUGUGAAUAGUAAUUCCAUGCUCAAAUAAUAAGAAUGUAGCAGUAGGGAUUAUAUGACCAGGAUGGUGAUAGUAACUGUGAAAUGCUCAGGGAGAUUAGAGAGGCUAUAAAAAUU